rnacentral:lncRNA from 10 species
UGUCACUGCACUCCAGCCUGGGCAACAGAGCGAGACUCAAUCUCAAAAAACAAAACAAAACAACAACAACAACAACAACAACAACAAAAGAGAAGUGGGGAAGGUCAUAGUUGUACUUCAAAGGAUUGUCCUAAGGAUUCAAUGUAACAAUACUUGUAAGACUCUUGAUAUAGAGGCAGGCCUAUGCUGAGUGCUCAAUAUAUGGUAGUUGUUGGAAGGAGAAGGAGGAGAUGAAGGAAGAGGAGACAGAAAAAGAAGAGACAGAGGAAGAGGAGAAAGAAGGGAAAUAAGAGCUCCUAGUCAGUUUCCAAACAUGUCUAAGAUAACAAAGAAGAAAAGGUGCUAUUUCCCCAGUGAAAGAUUCCCUAACCUCUUCCGAACGUAAUACCACAACCAUCCACAUUGUAAACCCAUGGGUAGGGGGUGGGGAAGAGAGGGAAUGUGUGAAUAAAAGCAAAGAAAUAAAUCAGCUGGUCCCUGGGUCCUUUGUCCUUGGAUCUGCAACCUUUGCCCUGAGAACCUGGUCUCCUGUCCACUUCUGUUAUAAGGUAACAGCUCCCACACUUGAGACCUUGUAACAGAAACACCAAAGGAUGUGGACUUUCUCAAAAUCUGUGGGGGCUCAACUCCCUUUCCCACUCCACUGUUAGUAAUCAGAAAAGGUCUCCAUGUGACACAGUUUGUACAUGUCUAUGAGAGGAAAUCAAAUCCUUCUAAGACAAAUAGAGGGAAAGUUACCAGGUGGCUGUUUGCAAGAAAUAAAGACAGAAGACGACUAAAUUCUCAAGCAGUUAUGACCUCAGGUUCCCCAGUGUUUUACACAGUUUUCAGAGUUGAUUAGAGAAC